rnacentral:rRNA from 1 species
UACGGAGGAUGCGAGCGUUAUCCGGAUUUAUUGGGUUUAAAGGGUGCGUAGGCGGAUCGUUAAGUCAGUGGUCAAAUUGAGGGGCUCAACCCCUUCCCGCCAUUGAAACUGGCGCUCUUGAGUGGAAGAGAAGUGUGCGGAAUGCGUGGUGUAGCGGUGAAAUGCAUAGAUAUCACGCAGAACCCCGAUUGCGAAGGCAGCAUGCCGGCUUCCGACUGACGCUGAAGCACGAAAGCGUGGGGAUCGAACAGG